CCUACGGGGGGCAGCAGUGAGGAAUAUUGGUCAAUGGCCGUAAGGCUGAACCAGCCAAGUCGCGUGAAGGAAGAAGGAUCUAUGGUUUGUAAACUUCUUUUAUAGGGGAAUAAAGGUAUCCACGUGUGGAUAUUUGCAUGUACCCUAUGAAUAAGCAUCGGCUAACUCCGUGCCAGCAGCCGCGGUAAUACGGAGGAUGCGAGCGUUAUCCGGAUUUAUUGGGUUUAAAGGGUGCGUAGGUUGUUUUUUAAGUCAGCGGUGAAAGUUUGUGGCUCAACCAUAAAAUUGCCGUUGAAACUGGAAGACUUGAGUGUGUUUGAGGUAGGCGGAAUGCGUGGUGUAGCGGUGAAAUGCAUAGAUAUCACACAGAACACCGAUUGCGAAGGCAUCUCACGAAUCCGCGAUUGACGCUGAUGCACGAAAGCGUGGGUAUCAAACAGGAUUAGAUACCCGAGUAGUC
rnacentral:rRNA from 1 species